rnacentral:rRNA from 1 species
GAAUAUUGCGCAAUGGGCGAAAGCCUGACGCAGCGACGCCGCGUGGGGGAUGAAGGUCUUCGGAUUGUAAACCCCUUUCGGGAGGGAUGAUGGGAUGGGGUAACCCAUUCGGACGGUACCUCCAGAAGCAGCCACGGCUAACUUCGUGCCAGCAGCCGCGGUAAUACGAAGGUGGCAAGCGUUGUUCGGAUUCACUGGGCGUACAGGGAGCGUAGGCGGUUGGGUAAGCCCUCCGUGAAAUCUCCGGGCCUAACCCGGAAAGUGCAGAGGGGACUGCUCGGCUAGAGGAUGGGAGAGGAGCGCGGAAUUCCCGGUGUAGCGGUGAAAUGCGUAGAGACCGGGAGGAAGGCCGGUGGCGAAGGCGGCGCUCUGGAACAUUUCUGACGCUGAGGCUCGAAAGCGUGGGGAGCAGACAGG